rnacentral:rRNA from 1 species
UAGUCCACGCUGUAAACGAUGAUCACUCGCUGUUGGCAAUACAUCGUCAGCGGCUGAGCGAAAGCAUUAAGUGAUCCACCUGGGGAGUACGAUCGCAAGAUUGAAACUCAAAGGAAUUGACGGGGGCCCGCACGAGCGGAGGAACAUGUGGUUUAAUUCGAUGAUACGCGAGGAACCUUACCUGGGCUUAAAUGUAAAUCGACGUUCCGGGAAACCGGAAUUUCUUCGGACGAUCUACAAGGUGCUGCAUGGCUGUCGUCAGCUCGUGCCGUGAGGUGUCGGGUUAAGUCCCAUAACGAGCGCAACCCCUAUCGUUAGUUGCCAGCGAGUAAUGUCGGGGACUCUAACGAAACUGCCGGUGUAAACCGUGAGGAAGGUGGGGAUGACGUCAAGUCAGCACGGGCCCUUAUGUCCAGGGGCUACACACGUGUUACAAUGGAUGGUACAAAGGGGCA